rnacentral:rRNA from 1 species
GACGAACGCUGGCGGCGUGCCUAACACAUGCAAGUUGAGCGACGAACCAGGGCUUGCCCUGGGGCAAAGCAGCGAACGGGUGAGUAACACGUGGGUAACCUACCCCGAUAACCGGGACAUCCCGAGGAAACUCGGGCUAAUACCGGAUGUGCUCACUGGACUUCGGUUCAGUGCGUAAAGGAAGCUUCGGCCUCCGUAUCGGGAGGGGCCCGCGGCCCAUUAGUUUGUUGGUGAGGUAACGGCUCACCAAGGCCGCGAUGGGUAGCUGGUCUGAGAGGACGAUCAGCCACACUGGGACUGAGACACGGCCCAGACUCCUACGGGAGGCAGCAGUGGGGAAUCUUGCGCAAUGCGCGAAAGCGUGACGCAGCAACGCCGCGUGGGGGAAGAAGGCCUUCGGGUUGUAAACCCCUUUCAGGAGGGACGAAGGUUCGGCGGUGAAUAGCCGUCCGGACUGACGGUACCUCCACAAGAAGCCCCGGCUAACUACGUG